rfam:Gossypium hirsutum cultivar TM-1 chromosome 3, whole genome shotgun sequence
UGUUGAAUAUUUCAUCCAAUUCUAUUGUUAAAAAUUGGCGUAGCUAACAAAAUAAUCAGACACAUGUGGCGUGCCAUGUUACCUCAUGCUGACGUACAUGGACCGAUUUUUAACAAUAGAAUUGGAUAAAAUUUUUAACA